rnacentral:rRNA from 1 species
UACGUAGGGUGCAAGCGUUAAUCGGAAUUACUGGGCGUAAAGCGUGCGCAGGCGGUUUUGUAAGUUUGUCGUGAAAGCCCCGGGCUCAACCUGGGAAUUGCGAUGAAGACUGCAAGGCUUGAAUCUGGCAGAGGGGGGUAGAAUUCCACGGUGUAGCAGUGAAAUGCGUAGAGAUGAUGGAGGAACACCGAUGGCGAAGGCAGCCCCCUGGGUCAAGAUUGACGCUCAUGCACGAAAGCGUGGGGAGCAAACAGG